AUAUUUUUUGAUCCCUGGUUAGCAUUCUGCUUGAUAGAGAUGGAAAAAGGGGCUCACAACCUUUAUCACAUAUAUAUGGUUAUAAUAUUGUCACAUAUUCUGUGACAUCAAAUCAUGCAUGCAA
ensembl:snRNA